UAGGGAAUCUUCCGCAAUGGACGAAAGUCUGACGGAGCAACGCCGCGUGAGUGAAGAAGGUUUUCGGAUCGUAAAACUCUGUUGUCAGAGAAGAACAAGUUGGAGAGUAACUGCUCCAGCCUUGACGGUAUCUGACCAGAAAGCCACGGCUAACUACGUG
rnacentral:rRNA from 2 species